CUUGCAGGCGCUCGUGUGACUGAAGUUUUAUAACUGGGAGCUAUGACAGGACAUGUAAAAUAUGGGACACGGCGUCAGGCGAGGGACUGCACACACUGGAGGGCCACAGGUACAAGAUUGCCACUGGGUCCUUUGAUAAGACCUGCAGGAUGUGGAGAGCCAAGACGGGCAAAUGUUUCCACACCUUCCGAGGACACACUGUGGAAAUAGGCCACUCAGCAGAUAUCAUCUCCUUGUCGUUUAACACAGUGGGUGACCAGCUAGUCACUGGCUCCUUUGACCACACUGUUUCUCUGUGGGAUGUUCCAUCUGGGAGGCGUGUCCACACACUGAUAGGUCACAGAGGGGAGAUCAUUAGUGUUCAGUUUGACUGGGACUGCUCCCUUCUCAUCACCGGCUCCAUGGACAAAAGCAGUAGGGCACAGCGAGAGUGUACAGCGCUGCCAGCUACCAGUGCAUCUCCAGACUGGAGGGACACGACGGAGAGAUACCCAAGGUGAGUCGCUGAGACAGGUAAUGGUUCAAACAGGAUCCAAAAUGGCCCCUCUCUCUCUCUGUCUCUUUGUCUGCCUCAGAGCAUCCGUCAGACUCACAAGGGUACAGGACUGGACAGGAGGGAUGAGGACGGCAGUGCGCUUGCCGGGGGGAUGUUUCUACCUCCUGUUACUGAUUCUUGUGUCAGUUUCUAGGUCAACCACAUCUUGACGAUGACAUAGAGAGACGUGACCCUGAAGGUGUGUGUCCCUCAGGCCAGAGCGUUCCAGAAACAUCCGGGCCCGUCUGAACUGCUCUACAUACAGGCUGAUUCCUGGUCUACCUGUGAUUCCCCCUUCCCCCGAUCUGUUUUAACGCUCAAGCCAGUAGAGUUCUGUCGGCCAGCGCUGACAAGAUGGCUCGCCUGUGGGAUGUCCAGUCUGGCGUCUAUCUUCAGGUCCUGGAGGGACACAUGGACGAGAUCUUCUCCUCCGCCUUCAACUGCGAGGGUGACACCAUCACAGUUGAAUUUCAGUUUACUGAAGGGAAGGAAGGGAAGGCCAUCUGGACAGGUGACUCCAGUCUGACUCCUGAUGUCCAUCCCCCAACAAGAAGAUGACUCCAACAGGGCCUUAUUUAAAGAUGCCCUUCCUGGAAGUUAUCACUGACCCAAUGCAUGUGACCUCCUAGUUUCUGUGGAGUAAGAUUCAGUCGACCGGAUAGCUUUGGUGAAUUAAUUUGGUCCCACUGUCAUUUUACUAUGUAGCACUGUAGACAGACAGUUUAGCGCGGUGGGUGCGUCCCAAAUGGCACUGAAUCCCCUAUUAAGUGCACUACUUUUGAGCAGGGCCUAUAGGGCUUUUCAGCCUGCAUUCACCAGUUAGGAUUUGACCUGGACUGGUCACUUUGGUCCUCUGUCAUGUUCAGUGUUGAUAAUCAGUGUUUAUUUGUGUGUUAAUUGGUGAAUGGGCCGGACGGAAGAAUGUUUUCUGUACCCAUCUUUUUGCUCAAUAAAAAACUAUUCAUGCUCACAUAUUACAUGAAUUUAUUGAUCUCAAAAGAUAAAGAUACAUUCAGUUUCUACAGCAACAGAGUUGAAUUGUGUGCUUUUUAAUGCCGACGAUUUAACACUAGAGUACCACUACGCAGAUAAAACCUGACAAACCAGAUUCACGUACAAAUUAGACAUUAAACUUCUUUGUCUUUCUGAAAGUAGUAUACAAAUGAAAUGAUAGAGAGCAGUCUUUCUACAUCAAGGUGAAGCAGUUCAAGAAUCUACAAUAUAGUACAGCUAUCCAAAAUAACAAUUCUCAAAGAACAUGAAGAACGACAGAUAACUUACUUAAGAACAAUAGAUAACAUGAAGAAUGACAGAUAACUUCAGCAGUAACAAAGUUACAAUAGAAGUAGACAAUGUUGGCCAAUGUAAACGACAACUAUCAUCUGGGUCCGUAUUCACAAAGCAUCUCAGAUUCAGGAGGCGCUGCUAUAGGAUCAGUUUUGCUAUUUUAGAUCAUAAUAAAUAAUGAUA